ensembl:lncRNA
GGAGAAUUUUAUCCACCUUAAUGAACUCUGAAUACAUUCCAUUUUCCAUAGUACUUAGAAUAUUAAAUAAGCAUAAUUUAGUAGAAAAUAUAUGAAUGGUCACACUGGUAUUUUUUGUGGCAAUAUCACAGAAUCCCAGAAUCUCAGAAAAUGCUAAGUUGGAAGGGACUCAUAAGGAUCAAGUCCAACUCUUAGCCCUGCACAGGACAUGCCCAAUAAUCACACCAUGUGCCUGACAGCAUUAUCCAAACCGUUCUUGAACUCUGUCAGGCUUGGUGCUGUGACCAUUUCCUGAGGUGCCUGUUCCAGUGCCCAACCAUCCUCUGGAUGAAGAACCUUUUAGUAAUAUCCAAACUAAACCUCUCCUGACAGAAUUUCAGGCCAUUUUCUCAAGUCCUGUCACUGGGCACCACAGAAGGCUGAUGUCAGUAGUGAACAUCUGUUCCAACACUAUUUGAAAAGAUGCCAUUCCACAAAAAAUCUUAAAAAAGCUUCCUGACACACAGCCUAACCUGAGGACCUGCACCCCAGAAAAUCCUGUUCUCAGAGAAAUUGCAAACUACUGCAGAGAGUGUGAAAGUCUGUGUCACCCAUGCUCACUGUGAGUGCCAACAAUGUCAGUAGACACUUCUGCUGAAUUAAGGGUAGUACAUAUGGCUCUGACUAACAGAGCUACCAUUUCAACUUUACCUUCAGAAAUACCAUGAUGCUGUUCAUUUUUUUAUUCCCAGUAAGAGACACAGCACAGAAAAGACCUCCUAUGGGAGCUAGGGACCUUCAACCAAGCUCUCUUGUGUCACAGUCAGCUCACUGUGACUCCAAGUCCGGUCUGGCCAGGAAUGCAGCUGACUGUUCAAGAACACACUAUGACAGAAAGAGUGAGCACAAAUUCCAGCUUAAAUUCACUCUUGGGCUUUUGCUGUCAUGAGCAGCAGCAUCACCAUUUGCUUGCUGUGCUGUGCACCAUAUCAACACAGGAGCGGGAUUGUGGAACACUCCUGAUUCACAGCAUGUCCUGCAUAAUACACAUGCAGCUGGAGUUCCACAAGAUUACAGACAAGAGCUAUCCAACAGUACUCAAAAAUCAGGACGUGCCAGAGCACUCUGGAGAACACCCUCUCUCCUUUCCUUCAUCACUCACUGACACCCAGCGCUCCAGACUCAGAGGAGAAAGAAAUACAAGUCUUUAGUCCAAACAAUAGUGAGCUUUAAAACACAGUCAACACAGCAACAUCUCUAUGUCAAAAGCUACUAUACAUUUGAUGCAAUGUUAGAUUACCUUACAUGAUAUUAAACGGGGAUUUUGUGAUCCCUUAACUAAUAUAACAAAAUUCCCAUUUAAGGCUGUGCCAGAACAAACUAUGGCUCCCUGCUACAUUUGUCACUCUUCCCAACACAAUUCAGUUCUCAAUUACUCUUCUUUAGACUCUAAACCUCUAACUAGAAACUCCCAGAUGGGCAAACAGCACAAUAGAUAAGUGGAUUUUAUAAAAUUAUUCAUUUCUUCCAUUACUUUAAUUUAAAAACUUGUUAAUAACCUGUUACUAAUCAGCACAGAAGUGCCUACACCACUAGCUAAAAAGAGAAAAACUGCAUUCCUUUGCAAGUUCAUCACUUCAUAUUACUUUUGUACCAUAUCUUUGUCUCCUGUAUUCUAAUCUGAGAAUUUCUGUCUGCCCUUUGUGACCACAGCACAUGCAAAGCAAUUUUUAACAGUUGGGGUUUUUAUUUUUGCUAGUGCUGUAAAUAUGUAUGUUCCAGGAACCUUAAACUGAAAAAGAAAGAAAAAUAAAGGUGUGUAAUUUUAUACA